GCCGAGCUCAGUUGCGAGAGCUUGUAACCCGAGUGGGGGCAUUAAGGUGAUGUGGACGCUGUUGUAGCGUUGCGGGCUUGGUCUGGGUGUGCUAUUGCUGGCCCGCCCGUUCCAAGUUGCGUAGUGGACCGGCUGGGGCCUAUGCGAAAGCUGGGCCUCACGGUCCAUAAUGUGGUAGGCACAGCGUGAGGCUGGCUUCACAGAGCAGCGACAACUGCCCGCUUCCAACGGUGGAAGGAUAACGGGCAGCUGCACUCUUCGGCCGCUUGGGCCUCGCAGCCUACUCCAGCGAACCAUAACUUUU
rfam:Triticum aestivum genome assembly, contig: Triticum_aestivum_CS42_TGACv1_scaffold_622096_7DS